UUUAAUUAUGAAACUUUAGGCAUAGUGUUCCAUUUAUUAUAAUUUCUAAUGUAUAUAUUUUUCCUACUCUUGUUUUGUUCCCUGUUUUAUUUCUUUAACUCAACAAUCUCCUUUUUCUAGUUCAUUUUAUUUUUUUUUACUAUUACUUUUUUCCUGAGUUGUCUCAUAAAUGGAUUUAUAUUAAGUUCCUUGGUAGUAAAGGAAUUUCUUUCUUUUCCAUGGUUUUGGUUGUUGCCUAUGGAAUUAAUUUACCAAAAAACUUUCUCAUUUUAUUUGUUCUACUUAAGUUCCAGCCAGUUUGACCAAUUGCCUACUUCUGAAUGUCCUGCCCUUUCCAUCCUACAACAUAAGCUUGUCAAAUUCCCAUCAAACUCUCAAAGUCUGUCUCAAAUAGUCUUCAUUUAAUAUGAUUUUCUUUAUUUUAUGAGAUUUAUAAGGUCUCUCUCUCCUUCAAGUUUAAAAAGGUGCUAUAAAGAUAGUAUCUUUUCCAUCUCUUAUAGGUCCUACCAGAUUCUUCCUUGGAAUUUAAUUAUUGAGCGUCAGCUUUAUUUUGUGUAAAUAGUCUGGAAACAUGAUUUUCAGCAUGGCUAACAAAGCAUGUAUGGACAAGUUUGUCAGAACAUAUUUAUACAGCACCCUAGAUAUGUUGACUGCUGCUUUCUGCACAAUGGAUACUCUUGGGAGACUCGUUGCUCAUCAGAUCUACAUAGGACAACCCAGUACUUAAGAAUACAGAUUCUGUGCCUACCUAACCUGGAGUCAAAUAUCAGCUCCAUUGCUUUCAUGCUCAUGUGAUCUGGGGCAAGGCUUGCAUAAUGGAUAUUAUGGAUGCAAGAAACACAAAAGGUAAAUUUAAUAAGUGCUCACAUCCUAAAAGAAAUCUGUGCUUUGUACCUCCACAACUGGCAAAUUGUCAUGAAUGUUUAAGUUAAAACCACAUUUUUCAAGCAUAUGAUAUAAUUAUUGAUGUUUCCUUAAGAAACAUAGGAUUUUAGGAAUAUAGUGAUUCUUCCCACCCCCACAUACCACCCCACCUCCUCCUUCCUCUCCCAUUCCCAGUCACAUUAUAUGUUAAAAUUCAUUUUCAAGUAUCUUUAUACACAGAAGACCAACUCUAUAUUAAGUAAAGAUUUCAACAAUUUGCACACACACACACACACACACACACAACCUGAGAACAAGUUUUACAGUUAAUUCUCAUAGUACAACACAUUGAGGAUAGAAGUCCUGAAUGGGAAGUAAGUGAACAGUGACUCCUGUUGUUAAUUUAUCAAUGAACACUCUUGUGUAUGACAUCAGUGAUCACCUGAGGCAUUUGACAAGAGCAGACAAAGCUACGGUAAUCUUUUGAAUCCACAAUCUCUGUCAGUAUUUAGACAAGGACAUAAGCAAAGUGGAAGUCCUCUCCUCCCUAAAGAGAAAAGUACAUCCUUUUUUGAUGGCCUCUUCUUUCCAUUGGGGUCUCUCUCACACAGAUCCUUCAUGUAGGACAUUUUUUUUUUUUUUUGCCACAGUAGUGUUGGCUUUCCAUGCCUGAAAUGCUCUCAUAGGCAUUUCAGCCAGACCAGAAUGCCUUAAGGCUGAUUUUGAAGUCAGAGUGCUAUUUAAAAUGAGUCUGCUGUGUGGACUGUUUCCAGUAUUGGAACAUUCUCUCCUUUUUAAUUCUAUCUAUUAUAUUACCAGACACUUGAUCUGCUUUAUAUGAUCACUUUAACACUUAAUCCUACCUAUAUGAUCACUUUAACACUUUAGAUGGUAUUUUUAGCACCCAGCUUAAUGAGAUUUAGAGUCUCAUGAGCAAGUUUUUAAACUGUACUCUUAGAAGUAAGUCUAUAGAAAUGUAUACAGAACUAUACAGCUUUACAGUUACAAACUUCCUCCUCCCUCUCUUAUUUCCAUUCUUGUUUUUUACUGAUAUCUAUUUUCAAUUGAUUUUUAUAUACAUAUAAAUAACUCUAUGUUAAGUAAAGAGUUCAACAAACAGUACGAAGAAGAAAAACAAAAAAACACUAUUCUUUGACAGUCAAGACAAGGGCUGUUCAAGUCAUUGCUUCUCAAAGUGUCAAUUUCACUUCUACAGGUUUCCUUUUAGGUGCUCUAUUAGUUAUCACAGAUCAGGGAGAAUGUAUGGUAUUUGCCCCUUUGGGACUGGCUUAUUUCACUAAAUAAUAUGUUUUCCAAAUUCAUCCAUUUGUUUUAAGUGACCGGAUUUCAUUUUUUAACCACUGUGUAGUAUUCCAUAGAGUACAUAUCCCAUAAUUUCUUCAUCCAUUCUUCAGUUGACAGGUAUUAGGGUUGAUUCCAUGUCUUAGCUAUUGUGAAUGGGGCUGCAAUAAACAUGGGGUUGUAGGUAAUUCUUUUAUUUGC
ensembl:lncRNA